rnacentral:misc_RNA from 1 species
GGGACCCCAAACAAACCCCUGCUACCAGAUAGAACCAACACUAAAACCCCGCCCACACCAUCCACCCCUCCUGUUGAAGAGGACAUGCAUGCGGAGCUACCCCAGGAGAGGAUCAAACAAUUCCAGUACAUACUGAUGGACUUAAAUGCUAAAUUCUGUUCACAGAACUUCAAACCAAGCUAAAGACUUUAAAACAAUUCAGUUCAUACAUGUGCAUACUGAUGGACUUGCAUAAAUGCUAAAUUCUGUUCACAGAAUUCAAAAGGAGAUAAAGGCUGUACCUGUCAUGAGGUUUUGAGAAUUGGAAUUGAAAUUCACAGAUUUUGUUCCUAGUUAUUUAGGAAUAAUUGACUGAGCAGUCAGAAGACUGUCGUGGUAAUUCAUGCUGGUUUUUCCACCGCUGAAUUGCGUCUCGCACAUCAAAAAGAAUGGGAUAAAAUUAGAAUUUCUAUUUGCGUGAAAAAUAAUUUAAUUUAUCAUGUUAAUAUUAUUUCAUUUUUACUAAGAUUCAGACAUUUUUGUCUCAUGCUGAGUGUCUGCUGUUGUAAACAAUGUUUUCGCCAUGCUCACAUAGGGGUUUUACCCUUUAAAUAAAAAAUGAAUGUUUUCAAUGAAAAAUUUAGGCAAGGUUAUUUUUUUAAAAAUUAAUUUGUUUCUCGGGUUAGUUUUAUUCUAUAUCUAACAAAAUGCCAACACAAGAGGAAAUCAAUGUGCAUGAUUAGUUGGUACUCUUUAUCCCUCUAGUACAUGUACACCAAUUUGUAAGUACAUGUAUUUAUUGAAAGUGGAAAAUCACAUGCUCAUAUGCUACAUUGUAUAUUAUUAUUUAAAGUUAUUAUCAACAUGACUGUCACCUAAAGGUUAAUUGUUGCGUUAAUUUAGCAAAUGCUCUUUUAUACAUGUACAUGUAUUUUACAACAUCUGUCAGCUGUUCGGCCACGUGGUUGUUAUUUUAUUAUGAUUUUAUAAAAUGUACACACUAUACGCGCACUGUUUUUGUGCACCAAAAGGGAGACCUAAGUCCAUAUAUUAGAAAUAACUGCAAAUCUGUUCUUCUGUCAAAUAAACAUUUUUUUAUAUUGUAUAAUAAUAUCAUUUAUAUAAUAAAAAUAAUGUGGAAUC